GACGAACGCUGGCGGCGCGCCUAACACAUGCAAGUCGAACGGAGUCAAGAGGAGCUUGCUUUUCUUGACUUAGUGGCGAACGGGUGAGUAACGCGUGAGUAACCUGCCCUGGAGUGGGGGACAACAGUUGGAAACGACUGCUAAUACCGCAUAAGCCCACGGAUCUGCAUGGAUCUGCGGGAAAAGGAUUUAUUCGCUCUAGGAUGGACUCGCGUCCAAUUAGCUAGUUGGUGAGGUAACGGCCCACCAAGGCGACGAUUGGUAGCCGGACUGAGAGGUUGAACGGCCACAUUGGGACUGAGACACGGCCCAGAAUCCUACGGGAGGCAGCAGUGGGGGAUAUUGCACAAUGGGGGAAACCCUGAUGCAGCGACGCCGCGUGGAGGAAGAAGGUUUUCGGAUUGUAAACUCCUGUCGUUAGGGACGAUAAUGACGGUACCUAACAAGAAAGCACCAGCUAACUACGUG
rnacentral:rRNA from 1 species